UCGUAUUUUGCUCUUGUUCAUUGAUUUCAAAACUAGCAUAAUGUUUUAUCAUCCAAAGUUUAAAAUCCAAAAUUCCCUAUUCUCUUGAUCUAUUAACAACUAUUGUCUUGGUGUUGAUAAAAAAUAGCAUAGGUUUUCAUCAUUAAUGGUUUGAAAUCCAAAUGCCCCAAUUCCCUAACAUGUUAAAAACUAUCCUCUUUGUGUUACAAUCUAUAGGGGAGAACACAUCUCUUGAAGGAGUUCAAGAACAUCACAAGCAUCGUAUUAUGCUCUUGCUCAUUGAUUUCAAAACUAGCAUAGUGUUUUAUCAUUCAAGGUUUAAAAUCCAAAAUUCCCUAUUCUCUCAACUAUUAAAUACUAUUGUCUUGGUGUUGAUAAAAAAUAGCAUAGGUUUUCAUCAUUAAAGGAUUGAAAUCCAAGUGCACCAAUUCUCUAACAUGUUAAAUCAUCAUCUUUGUGUUACAGUUUCUAGGGGAGAACAUGUCUCUUGAGGAGUUCAAGGAGGUUGUGGUUGCCUCAUAGAAAUUUGAGAUGUAUCCACUAAAGUGUAGGUUGAGAGAAGAUUCACAACUUCGUCAGGGGUGGCCAAGUGAUUUUGGUAGUCAAAUGCAAGAAUCGUGAAAUGAGCCAAGGAUUAGAUUAUGAAGUAGAGUUGUUUAGUGAAUUUGCAUCACAAGGGUGGUUUCCACAUAAAUCACAUGUUUAUUUUAUGUGAUUGUAUUGCAAUCGCCCUCAAUAAAAUGAAAUGAUUAAUUAAAAGCUAAAAAUAUUAAUAUUUGUUGAACUAUCAAUUUUUCUAAAAGCUUAAACUUGUAGGAUUUGAGCUCACAAUGUAUAUCAUGCACUCUAACACCCUCCCUCACCUGUAACCUCCAUUUUUGGGCUUACAACCUUAACAAAUUGGGUAAAUGUACAUACAGUGGUGAGGGUCAAACACUUAACCUCCCACUAAACAAGGCUCUACUACCAUGUUAAACCACUAAUUUUCCUAAAAGUUUAAGUUUGUAGGAUUUGGGCUCACAACGUAUAUCAUGCAGUCUAAUACCCUCCCUCACGUGUAGCCUCCAUUUUUGGGCUUACA
rnacentral:lncRNA from 1 species